rnacentral:rRNA from 1 species
ACGCUGGCGGCGUGCCUAAUACAUGCAAGUCGAACGAGAGCGACCGGUGCUUGCACUGGUCAAUCUAGUGGCGAACGGGUGAGUAACACGUGGGUAAUCUGCCCAUCAGAGGGGGAUAACAUUCGGAAACGGAUGCUAAAACCGCAUAGGUCUUCGAACCGCAUGGUUUGAAGAGGAAAAGAGGCGCAAGCUUCUGCUGAUGGAUGGACCCGCGGUGCAUUAGCUAGUUGGUGAGGUACGGCUCACCAAGGCCGUGAUGCAUAGCCGACCUGAGAGGGUGAUCGGCCACAUUGGGACUGAGACACGGCCCAAACUCCUACGGGAGGCAGCAGUAGGGAAUCUUCCGCAAUGGACGCAAGUCUGACGGAGCAACGCCGCGUGAGUGAAGAAGGUUUUCGGAUCGUAAAACUCUGUUGUUAGAGAAGAACAAGUGCUAGAGUAACUGUUAGCGCCUUGACGGUAUCUAACCAGAAAGCCACGGCUAACUACGUGCCAGCAGCCGCGGUAAUACGUAGGUGGCAAGCGUUGUCCGGAUUUAUUGGGCGUAAAGCGAGCGCAGGCGGUUCCUUAAGUCUGAUGUGAAAGCCCCCGGCUCAACCGGGGAGGGUCAUUGGAAACUGGGGAACUUGAGUGCAGAAGAGGAGAGUGGAAUUCCAUGUGUAGCGGUGAAAUGCGUAGAUAUAUGGAGGAACACCAGUGGCGAAGGCGACUCUCUGGUCUGUAACUGACGCUGAGGCUCGAAAGCGUGGGUAGCAAACAGGAUUAGAUACCCUGGUAGUCCACGCCGUAAACGAUGAGUGCUAAGUGUUGGAGGGUUUCCGCCCUUCAGUGCUGCAGUUAACGCAUUAAGCACUCCGCCUGGGGAGUACGACCGCAAGGUUGAAACUCAAAGGAAUUGACGGGGACCCGCACAAGCGGU